GGCAAUGUGGUAUAGUGGUACUGAGCAGGGCUCUUAACCGGAAGGUUGUUGGUUCAAUUCCCUGUUGCUA